UACAGAGGGUGCAAGCGUUGUUCGGAAUUACUGGGCGUAAAGGGCGCGUAGGCGGCCUUCUAAGUCGCACGUGAAAUCCCCGGGCUCAACCCGGGAACUGCGUCCGAUACUGGAGGGCUUGAAUCCGGGAGAGGGAUGCGGAAUUCCAGGUGUAGCGGUGAAAUGCGUAGAUAUCAGGAGGAACACCGGUGGCGAAGGCAGCGCGCUGGGACGUUACUGACGCUGAGGAGCGAAAGCGUGGGGAGCGAACAGG
rnacentral:rRNA from 1 species